rnacentral:rRNA from 1 species
AUUGAACGCUGGCGGCAGGCCUAAAACAUGCAAGUCGAACGCGUGGCGGACGGGUGAGUAAUGUCUGGGAAACUGCCUGAUGGAGGGGGAUAACUCCUGGAAACGGUAGCUAAUACCGCAUACCAUCAGAUUUUCCCAGAUGGGAUUAGCUUGUUGGUGGGGUAACGGCUCACCAAGGCGACGAUCCCUAGCUGGUCUGAGUGGAUGACCAGCCACACUGGAACUGAGACACGGUCCAGACUCCUACGGGAGGCAGCAGUAGGGAAUAUUGCACAAUGGGCGCAAGCCUGAUACAGCCAUGCCGCGUGUAUGAAGAAGGCCUUCGGGUUGUAAAGUACUUUCAGCGGGGAGGCGUUACCCGAAGAAGAAGCACCGGCUAACUCCGUGCCAGCAGCCGCGGUAAUUC